rnacentral:rRNA from 1 species
ACGAACGCUGGCGGCGUGCUUAACACAUGCCAGUCGCACGCUGAAGCUCAGCUUUUGUUGGGUGGAUGAGUGGCGAACGGGUGAGUAACACGUGAGUAACCUGCCCCCUUCUUUGGGAUAACGCCCGGAAACGGGUGCUAAUACUGGAUAUUCACUGGUCUUCGCAUGGGGGUUGGUGGAAAGGGUUUUUCUGGUGGGGGAUGGGCUCGCGGCCUAUCAGCUUGUUGGUGGGGUGAUGGCCUACCAAGGCUUUGACGGGUAGCCGGCCUGAGAGGGUGACCGGUCACAUUGGGACUGAGAUACGGCCCAGACUCCUACGGGAGGCAGCAGUGGGGAAUAUUGCACAAUGGGCGCAAGCCUGAUGCAGCGACGCCGCGUGAGGGAUGGAGGCCUUCGGGUUGUGAACCUCUUUCGCUCAUGGUCAAGCCGCAACAAUGGUUGUGGUGAGGGUAGUGGGUAAAGAAGCGCCGGCUAACUACGUG